UAACCCGGCCAUAGGCGAGGUGGAACCACCUGAACCCACCAGAACUCAGAAGUGAAACGCCUCGCCGUGCACGGAAGUACUGCGGUCCGGGAGGCCGCGGGAAACCGGCGUGCCGGGGCCU
rnacentral:rRNA from 1 species